UGGCGCCGCCGCCCCUGCCUCCUCAACUCCCAUGGCCCGCCCUCCCCGUCGCGUCUCUUCUCUCCAUCGUCAGUCGCGGAAGCCGCUGCGCUCCUCUUCCUCCCUAGCUGCACCGCGCGGGAGGGCAAGAAGUUGACCCGAGGUCACCCGCCUCCAAUCCGACGUGCGAGGCACCCAGAGGCUGCCUCCGGUCAAAUCCGUCCGCCUCCCACGCCGUCAUCGUCCAGCACGAUUUUACCUCGUCGUCGUUCUCCUCCAAGCGUCCCGUGUGAGACGAGCCGGCCAGAUCCACCGUGUGGUGGCGUUGCAGGACCUGCUCCUGCGCCUUCGCCGAUGCCACCGACCCGCACUUCCCGGUCAGGUACUAGCUCCUCGACAAGGGCCUCAACGCGCUCAUCUCGGUCUCCUCACCCGAGCAUCUUGACUGCCCCAAGCUGUGGGUCUUCAUCUUCCCCAUCUCCGACGUGGCGGCGUGGGACGAGGGCGGCGAGGGCAGCGCCGGGUUUGACGCCGGACGCGGCGGCGCGGCCGCAUGUGGGCUGCCUCCCCGGCCUUCCGCAUGCAGCUCUUCCUGCUCCGCUCUCUCGCGCCCACCUGCGUAAACAACGGCCACGCCUCCUCAAGCCCUCUUCGUCCCCACGCAAUCUAUGCGGCGUCGAGGGGGGAGGCGGUGGUCCGGUGAAUCACGCCUCUGCUCGACUGUGCAAGGCACAAGGGCCAGACAGAUAAUGGAAGAAUAACUCUCCCUGCCUCUCCACCCAAGGGUGCACACAGACAAGUUCGUGUGUAUAUCCAUUUGCCUAUUACAAAGGCGGCAGGAAGCAUAGAAACCAUGAUUUUUAUGGAGAUUCAAAGUACAGAAAGAUGGAAGAGGCGGCAGGAAGCACAUAAAUCAUGAUGUUUAUGGAGAUUCAAAGUACAGAAAGAUGGAAGAGGUUCUGAUUCUUCUCAUUGCAUUUCUAAUUUUGUUGGCUACUAUCUAAUUUGAAAGUAUAGAUACUGCCCGGUGGGGAAUCAAUAUUACACAGAGUAACUGGAAUUUUAACCUGGUGCAAGGACUGAACAUGUAGAGAAUGAAUAGGUUGUAUCUUUCUUAGUAACCCAUUUCUGUUAUGAAUGAUAAUUUGUGUCUGUUUUGUAUCUCUGCUGAUAGAACAUAUGAUUUUCUAUUAUUGCCAGUGAUAUUAGUGUAUUUGAUUCUGUAGAUAUGUUUUGAGAUUUCCCUAGAGCCGACCAAUGAAACGGCGCUGGUUUAUAUAACGCGUCGUUUCUUCACAAUUUGACUACUACAGUCACCGAAUCAUUGGAAUAGGUAACCAGCGAAGGUUGCUUCAGCUAUGUAGAUUUUUUUUCUCUCAAAGCUAAAUUUGUUUUCUUAGAUGAUGAUAAGCAUCAUAUCCGGCAGCUACGUGGAGUAGGAGUAUUUCUGUAGCAGUCGGUGUUUAUUUGCACCUUUUGGUUGUUUACCCUGCAAAGUUUUGGAACAUUUAAUUUUAUAGCUUGCUUUCAAGUUGUUUUACUGCUUGAACAAGUAUCUUGGCAGUGGUCGAUUGACUUGAGUAGCCCUUAGAAGAGUAUAUUUUCUUUCCUUAAGUAUCUUGCUUGCAUCAAGUGGUUAGAUGUUUUUAAAUUUUAUAUACCUGUGUGUUGCUUGGUUGUGUCCUUAGACUGGCACCUGGGCAAUUACUUGAGCAGCAGUGUAGCACCAUGCCUCAUUGAGCUCCCUAAUUUGGCUAGAACAGAGGUCUACAACUGAGGGCUACUGUAUUUACAUUUUAUAUACAUGUGAAAGUUAUUUUUGUGAUUCACUUCAGUUAGCAUUGAUUUCAAUGCAUAUGUCUUCCUUUUUGUUGUCAGUAGUGCAAUAUACUUCUAUUAAAUGAGAAAGAAUCAAUAGCAAUUCCUUCCAUUGUAUAUGAAGCUCCGCUAGGUUCCAAAUAGAAAGAUCUUUUAUUGAAGUGUAAACUGCUAGCAGAGCUACAUUGCGGAGUACGGAGUUGAUAUGAAGCUCUGCUAAGUUACGAUGCUAUUUUCUGGCCUAUGGGUUUUGGCUACUGAUUUUUAUUGCCAUAGUUUAUUGUUUGUCAUCUAAAACGGAUUCAGAGGGAUACGAAGGGUACUUUAAUUUGCAACCGAUUAAAUUGUUUGGUUCCUGAUUCAUAUUUGUUUGUCUAUAUUAUGGACAACCGAUUAAGGAUCUUUAUAGAGUAGGAGUCUUCGUUUGAUGGCCACAGUUGACAUCACCCAAUUUGUGUGUAGGGUGCUUAAUAAGUUUUUUUAGAUGUAUGCACUGCAUGAAGGAGCACAUUUCUGUCAAUUUUACUGGAGGUCAAGGUUACCUUCAAAUGCUUGUAGUUAUUUGUAAGCUGAUCAGCAGCUUGAAUGCAAUGGAAGUUUGGAUUGGAAGUAUUUUUGGUUGGCUAUAAGGAAGAGAGCACUUGACAGCCAUUUGUACUGUUGUUGUGGUCGUCCUUGGCGCAGAAGGGGUGGCGGGGGAGGCGCGGAGAUGGAGCAAACCUUGCACAGUGUCUAAUCCACUUGAUGCCAUCAUUAUCUAUGAGAUGCACCAAGCAUCGUAACGAAUCUCGGCGCUUUGUACUACUAUGUAUUUUGUUUGCUCCUAUGUCAUGAGAAAUUCCAAAUGUUGGAUCUGUGCCUGGCACGUGCUGUGAGCCGGCUCAGUUGUCCCGGGCUUUGCUUUUGGAACAAAUUAAGUAUUUGUCAUGAGCUGGUAGAUUAAAUAAUAUCAUGUUGGCAGAUUAUAUAUUCA